rnacentral:rRNA from 1 species
GACGAACGCUGGCGGCGUGCUUAACACAUGCAAGUCGAACGGAAAGGCCCUGCUUUUGUGGGGUGCUCGAGUGGCGAACGGGUGAGUAACACGUGAGUAACCUGCCCUUGACUUUGGGAUAACUUCAGGAAACUGGGGCUAAUACCGGAUAGGAGCUCCUGCUGCAUGGUGGGGGUUGGAAAGUUUCGGCGGUUGGGGAUGGACUCGCGGCUUAUCAGCUUGUUGGUGGGGUAGUGGCUUACCAAGGCUUUGACGGGUAGCCGGCCUGAGAGGGUGACCGGCGACAUUGGGACUGAGAUACGGCGCAGACUGCUACGGGAGGCAGCAGUGGGGAAUAUUGCACAAUGGGCGGAAGCCUGAUGCAGAAGCGCCGCGUGCGGGAUGACGGCCUUCGGGUUGUAAACCGCUUUCGCCUGUGACGAAGCGGGAGUGACGGUAAUGGGUAAAGAAGCACCGGCUAACUACGUG